CACUGAAUCAACAGACAGUGGAUGUGACUGGAAACGUGGGACAGUCUGUCCUUCUGCCCUGCUCCUGCUCUGAACUACAAGCCAAACCACACACUUUCACGUGGAGCUUUUAUGAUGAAUCUGAUGAUAUGAAAAUCAUCUCAGCAGACCAGACAAAUCGCUACACAGGCAGAGUUCAGCUCUUUAAUGAUCAUCCUCCAGGAAAUCUCUCUCUACUCAUAUCACACCUGACUGUAGAGGAUGGAGGAUGGUACAGGUGUGAGAUCAGUGAAAUGAAAACGUACAUCUACCUCACAGUGAAAGAACCCCUUCUCUACAUCCCUGUUGCCAUGGUGACUGUGAUCUUUCUGCACAUUAUCGUGGCUUUGAUUUAUUGCACCACCAUAAAGAAAGGUCCUGGUACAGUUCAUUACAGCAGAGGUGAUGGAGAUGGAACAGUGAGUCUGCAGUAGAGAAUAUCUCAGUUCGCUGAUCUAUCAAAAAAUGAAUCAAUAGAUUUCUUCAGAAAUAGUCUAUGGCGUCAAAUUAGUGGCAUAAGUAUCAUAUUCAUAACAAAUUAUAUAUAUUAUACACAUAAAAAAAAUAAAACACGUGAAUCACAGAAAUAACAUGCGUGACACUGCAGGUUAGUGUUUGAACCUGUCUUGAGCAAGUGAGAAGUUUAAUUAAUACGCUUAAAGCUUCUUAUAUGUGUGUCUAUUGUAGUAUCAUGUCAACCCUCCUGUUAUUAUGCUAAAGAGUAUUUUAAUGAACUGAACAAGUGUAUCACUGUACAAUCAUUAGCAUCAUAGCAUAGCGUUAUUGCUGCUCAAACAGUAGAGUAGUGCGGUAUGUGUUCAGUAUUGUGAUGAAAUGUAUACCAAAGUAAUGUGUUUAGUCUUAUCUCUGUAUUAACCCAGACUCUUAAUCAGAGUCCUGUAUCACCACAUCCCCAGUCUCAGGUCAGUUCUUUCUUUUUUUUGAAAAAAAAGAAAGAAAGAAAAUAAAGUUUUAUUAAAGCAUUGAUUGUUACUGUUUUAUAUUAAGGCCAGAGAGAGAGAGAGAGAGAGAGAGAGAGAGCUCUUUAUUCAUAUGAUAACAAUGGCUUCUUGUCAGAGUCAAAAAACUGUCAACAUAAAAUAACUCUUUAAAUUAGAAUUUAUUUCCAGACUCUUUAUUUCUGUCUGUAUGCUAGAUAUAGAUCAACAUCAUUCUGGAGUUGCAUGCCACCAUAAAAGCUGCAGAAGGAUUUAGGAUUAUUAGAUGUAAGCAUUGUAGAAAGAUGCUAUAAAUGUAAUGAAAACACAUUUAUUCCACAAUUUGCUGCACAUAGUUUAAAACUAAUAAAUACAGAUCUCGUCCAAAGUCUCGGGACGGGGAGUUUGGUUCAAUGGCUGUCCUAAACUGUGCCUGUGGCCACAGCAUCCAAUCAGUGUCUGUAAGCACAACCCCAACACUCAACAAUUGAGAACCAUUUUAGACAGAUUACAACUGGUUCCUUGGACAAUUAAGGCAUCUAACUAACGUGUACAUUGAUAUCGAUUACAUGUAGUAGUGCAUAAUCGCCCAUCUUCUCACUUGCUCAAGACAGGUUCAAACACUAACCGGCAGAUCAGUGAUGUCACUUUACUGAUUGGCUAGAGAAGGGCAGUAGGUUGAGAAGCAGUGGACCAAUGGAGACUUUCAUCCUGCCCCCUAAUCUGCAUAAAACUCUACUUGUGAUUUUUGGAAUAACAAACUAGCAUCCUUGUGAUUUGCGUGUUUUAUUAAUUUAGUUUUUUUUUAUGUGUAUUAUUUCUGUGAUGCAUGUAUUUUUUUUUAACGAGUACAAUACUUUUGGCACUAAUUUGAUGCCAUAAUAGUCUUGAAUAAAUAGUUCUGUAAAUAUUGUAGCUUCAUUUCAUAUUCAUGGUUUGUUCUCUCCAAACCUUUGAUGCUUAACAGUAUUUCAGCUAAAUCACAGAAUGUGUGUGGUUAGAUUUUAACGUUGCUACGCCACUAUAUUAGAUAAAUAUGUGAUACUUUAUUUUACAAAUGGGAAAGAAGGUAAAAUAUUGUGUUUAUAAUUCAAUAGAUUUCAAUUGAUUUUCUCUCUUUUGUUUUCUUGUAAAUUUGGUUUUUCAUUUGGAAUACUUUUCAAUUAUUCCUUCAUUUAUUUUCUUGUGAUUUGUGGUUUAAUUUGAAGUGAUGCAUCACACUUAUGUUUGGGGCAGAAACUUCCUACACUGAUGAAAGGGUACUUUCAUUUUGAACUUAAGUCACCCUGAAACAGGAAGGCCUACUGAAAUAAAAAGGUGGAGCCAACAGGAAGACAUGUAAGGAAUUAUUUGUGUUUGGAGGAUGAUUGGUUCUAAACUUUCCUUUUGGAGUUGCUUUUGAAUUAAUUGCCCAUCCAGUUCCAGGAGACAAUUAUGGAUCUGUGUUUAAGGUUAGACUUUCAUAAUGUUUGGUGGUGGGUAAUUUUUAAUCUUCUUGUUUAAUGGACUGUUUUUCAUUUUUGGGUUUUUCAUUUUUUUUUUCAAAUAUUUUGUAUUCUAUAUGCUCAUAUUUGCCUUUGUGUUUGUCAAGCCUUCAAGCAGUUUCUGUUGUACUCAGUCAUGCAUUGUGAGUUUACUGAACUUUAAAAUAGCUAAGUAUCUGCUGGUGUACUGAAGCUGUUUACCAGGUUUUGUUACAAAGUGCUUCAUUUAUAAGUUUGUAUCUGAUGCCCACCUGCUUUUGAUGCCUGCUUCACUUUCACAAUAUUUACAUCAUUAAAAACUAGACAUAUUGUAUCAUUUCUUCACAAAAUAUUGUAGUGCUUUAGUAGGCAAAUUUUCUACCAUUGAUCAGAUUGAUCAGUGGCGUCCAUCUACUUCUGCACAGCUGGAUGCCUGGUCCAUCUCCCAAAACCUUCCUCCACCUCCCUCAGCCACGGAGCUGCUCUUAUAUCACCUGUUACCUGAAAGAACUGAAUGAAGAAUUCAACAUCUUUCUUUUGCUGUCUUUCAGCACUUCUAGAUUCUUUUUGCUCAGCAUAUUUUCCUCUAGCAUUCUCAAUUAAAACUUUUCGACUAUUAAAUGUUCAGUAUUACAGAUCAGUAUUCCAGACCCACACAGCUUCAGGCUCUAUGGAUUGAUCUUGAGCUCAUAUUACUAUCUUUAUGAAGUUUCCCAUGAUCUUUUGUCUCGGUGUGGGUUUCUACUUCUCACUGUCAAAAAACAUGCUGCUAGAUGGAUUGGUGACUCUAAAUCAAGUAGCAACCUGUGAUGGAGCGGCCUCUCAUUCAGAGUGUAUUCCCACUGUAUUCCCUGUGUUCUUGCAUAAAACUUCAUUUCCACCACAAUCUAGACCAGGAUAAAGGUGAAUAGUAAGCAAAGGGCUGAGGUUACACUAGCACUCUGGUGUGUGUGACUUCUGGUAGGAAGGAGAAAUGUCCAGAGUCAUCACUACAUGAGUUUAACUUCUGUCCUAGUUCUGUGCUGGUGUUUUUUGUUUCUAAACUUUUGUUGUAUGUUUAUGUAGCACCAGGGUUCUGGAGAAACAUUGUUUCAUUUCAG